AGAGUUUGAUCAUGGCUCAGAUUGAACGCUGGCGGCAGGCCUAACACAUGCAAGUCGAGCGGUAGCACAGAGAGCUUGCUCUCGGGUGACGAGCGGCGGACGGGUGAGUAAUGUCUGGGAAACUGCCUGAUGGAGGGGGAUAACUACUGGAAACGGUAGCUAAUACCGCAUAACGUCGCAAGACCAAAGUGGGGGACCUUCGGGCCUCAUGCCAUCAGAUGUGCCCAGAUGGGAUUAGCUAGUAGGUGGGGUAACGGCUCACCUAGGCGACGAUCCCUAGCUGGUCUGAGAGGAUGACCAGCCACACUGGAACUGAGACACGGUCCAGACUCCUACGGGAGGCAGCAGUGGGGAAUAUUGCACAAUGGGCGCAAGCCUGAUGCAGCCAUGCCGCGUGUGUGAAGAAGGCCUUCGGGUUGUAAAGCACUUUCAGCGGGGAGGAAGGCGUUAAGGUUAAUAACCUUGGCGAUUGACGUUACCCGCAGAAGAAGCACCGGCUAACUCCGUGCCAGCAGCCGCGGUAAUACGGAGGGUGCAAGCGUUAAUCGGAAUUACUGGGCGUAAAGCGCACGCAGGCGGUCUGUCAAGUCGGAUGUGAAAUCCCCGGGCUCAACCUGGGAACUGCAUUCGAAACUGGCAGGCUAGAGUCUUGUAGAGGGGGGUAGAAUUCCAGGUGUAGCGGUGAAAUGCGUAGAGAUCUGGAGGAAUACCGGUGGCGAAGGCGGCCCCCUGGACAAAGACUGACGCUCAGGUGCGAAAGCGUGGGGAGCAAACAGGAUUAGAUACCCUGGUAGUCCACGCCGUAAACGAUGUCGAUUUGGAGGUUGUGCCCUUGAGGCGUGGCUUCCGGAGCUAACGCGUUAAAUCGACCGCCUGGGGAGUACGGCCGCAAGGUUAAAACUCAAAUGAAUUGACGGGGGCCCGCACAAGCGGUGGAGCAUGUGGUUUAAUUCGAUGCAACGCGAAGAACCUUACCUGGUCUUGACAUCCACAGAACUUUACCAGAGAUGGAUUGGUGCCUUCGGGAACUGUGAGACAGGUGCUGCAUGGCUGUCGUCAGCUCGUGUUGUGAAAUGUUGGGUUAAGUCCCGCAACGAGCGCAACCCUUAUCCUUUGUUGCCAGCGGUCCGGCCGGGAACUCAAAGGAGACUGCCAGUGAUAAACUGGAGGAAGGUGGGGAUGACGUCAAGUCAUCAUGGCCCUUACGACCAGGGCUACACACGUGCUACAAUGGCAUAUACAAAGAGAAGCGACCUCGCGAGAGCAAGCGGACCUCAUAAAGUAUGUCGUAGUCCGGAUUGGAGUCUGCAACUCGACUCCAUGAAGUCGGAAUCGCUAGUAAUCGUAGAUCAGAAUGCUACGGUGAAUACGUUCCCGGGCCUUGUACACACCGCCCGUCACACCAUGGGAGUGGGUUGCAAAAGAAGUAGGUAGCUUAACCUUCGGGAGGGCGCUUACCACUUUGUGAUUCAUGACUGGGGUGAAGUCGUAACAAGGUAACCGUAGGGGAACCUGCGGUUGGAUCACCUCCUU
rnacentral:rRNA from 1 species